GAUUACUGGCUCAGGAUGAACGCUGGCGGCGUGCUUAACACAUGCAAGUCGAACGGAGUAUGUUCGCUGACGGAGGAUUCGUCUGAAGUCUUGAGCAUACUUAGUGGCGGACGGGUGAGUAACGCGUGGGUAACCUGCCGUAUACCGGGGGAUAACACUUAGAAAUAGGUGCUAAUACCGCAUAAGCGCACAGUGAGGCAUCUCACAGUGUGAAAAAACUCCGGUGGUAUACGAUGGACCCGCGUCUGAUUAGAUAGUUGGUGAGGUAACGGCUCACCAAGUCGACGAUCAGUAGCCGGCCUGAGAGGGUGAACGGCCACAUUGGGACUGAGACACGGCCCAAACUCCUACGGGAGGCAGCAGUGGGGAAUAUUGGAUAAUGGGGGAAACCCUGAUCCAGCCGACGCCGCGUGAGUGAAGAAGUAUUUCGGUAUGUAAAGCUCUAUCAGCAGGGAAGAAAAUGACGGUACCUGACUAAGAAGCCCCGGCUAACUACGUGCCAGCAGCAGC
rnacentral:rRNA from 1 species